rnacentral:misc_RNA from 1 species
UGCCUCUCAGCUUGCUAAACUCCCUCUCUGCCCUGUGCAGGAGAUACUUCUCCUGCCAAACCUAGCCUUCUCCCAUCAUCAACCAGAACUUGUCUUCCGUUCCCAUUCCUUAAACUCAAUUCUAAACCUUGGCAUUUAUCAUCUGCUUGUUCGUUGCCUCAUAAUUCAUGGCUCUGCUCUUGUGCAACACAUUAAUACACCGUCACCUCUUCUCUUCUCUUUAAUGUAAAAUCAACAACCUCUUGUCAUCUGCCUAGCUGCCAAUUCCAAACUUCAAUUCUCUCCUUCUGACUUUUCCCAUGGUAAUAGACUAUGUUGUUUCUGUCCUCUGAAGUCUUAUUCAAUUAAAGGAUCCUUUACAGCCAAAAAUGAUAAUGUAGCGCUGUUUGAAUUAGAGUAGAAAGAGGAUAAAGUUGAGGCAUAAUGUGUGUGUGUGUGUG